CACCACACAAAAAGAAAAGAGAUAAUUUAAAUAGUAAUAAUGAUAGUAAUUCACAAUUUUACCAAUUAAACCAUAACUCUCCAAAAACAUUUCUCACCACAAGAGCAUUUUUCACACUCCACCUUGCAUCAAAAAAAUCCAUAUUAUUUGUUAAUUUACAAUAGGCAUAUUCUACAGCAACCCUGUACUUUACUAAUGAUUUGAACAUCCCAACCAGAUCAAUAUUUUCCCCCUCAUUUUUACAUGUGUGGGAUUUUAGAAUUGCCAACUUUGCCUGCCCUAAUAAAAAGUUAGCCAGAGUACACUGUGCUUUCCAUUCCUUCUUGUAUUUCAAGCCCAAAAUAAACAGAUUUUUUGUAAAAAUAAACCCAAGUUCAGUGAAUAUUUUCCCCAACAGUUCAAACAAAGGAAAUAGUCUAAAACAAUCAGAAAAAAAAUGAAAAACAGUAUCAGGAGCAUUACAAAACGGACAUGUAAAUGAAAUCAUUGCAUUAAAUUUUGAGACAAACCUAUUUGUUGCCACAGCACCGUGGAGUAUUCUCCACUGGAGAUCCCCAGAUCUCUUAGGAAUAGGGGGUUUAUACAAACACCUCCAUGAUGGAGUUAGUUCUGAAGAAAUUGAUAAAUAUUCUCUCCAUUUAGUAUCAGUCCGUCUUGUCAAUUGAGCAUAAAACAAAGAUUUCACACACAUUCCAUACAACAUCUUUUUUUCCACAUUCUGAAACAAUACAUCUUUAAAUCCCUUUAAUAACAAAGUAUUAUUUAAAUCUUCAUCUAAUUCAACUCCUAUUUCUACUCUAAGAUCUGGAAAGGUCCGGGACUUUUCACCAUUUUCAAAAAAAGUUUUUACAAAGGUCAAGAAAGAUUGAGGAAAAGAUUUUUUGAAAUCCCCCAUUAACGCUUCAACAUAUCUUUCUGAUCUAAGCCCAACUUGAUCAGCUAUUGAUGAAGUCGCACGCCAUUGACCUUUUGUAGAAUCAAUUAAGUCCAUUACAGUAGCUAUUCCAGUCUUUAAAAACAUAUCAACUACUGUACCUGAAAUUGAUGAAUUUAUUUUAAAAAGAGAAUUAAAGAAUAAUGGUUCCAAAACACCGUAAUGUUCACUCUCCUUUCUAACCUUCUUUAACAAUUGCCAAGCUCUAAACACAGACUCAUAAAACUUUAAAAGACAACAACUUACUCUUGAGACAAAAGAUUUGUCAAUUAAGAACAACUGCUUAUCUAAUCCGAUUCCUCCUAUAUCUUGUAGAAUAGACAAGCUACAUGCAAUCCAGGGAACCUUAUCUGAACAGUAUAACAAUUUCUGUAAUGUUUGAAGUCUCAUUGUUUUAACUCUUGCUUCCAACUCUAUGAGUCCUUGUCCUCCUUCAGUCACUGGGAGAUAUAAAACCCCAGGAGGAAGCCAAUGAAAC
ensembl:lncRNA